UACGUAGGUGGCAAGCGUUGUCCGGAUUUACUGGGCGUAAAGAGCGCGCAGGCGGUCGUUCAAGUCGCGUGUGAAAUCCCGCGGCUCAACUGCGGGUCUGCAGUCGAUACGGGCAGGCUAGAGUUCGGUAGGGGAGACUGGAAUUCCUGGUGUAGCGGUGAAAUGCGCAGAUAUCAGGAGGAACACCGAUGGCGAAGGCAGGUCACUGGGCCGCAACUGACGCUGAGGAGCGAAAGCAUGGGGGAGCGAACAGG
rnacentral:rRNA from 1 species